rnacentral:rRNA from 1 species
ACGAACGCUGGCGGUGUGCUUCACACAUGCAAGUCGAACGAGGUAGCAAUACCUAGUGGCGGACGGGUGAGUAACGCGUGGGAAUCUGCCUUUAGAUGGGGGAUAACGGGUCGAAAGACUCGCUAAUACCGCAUAUGGCGAAAGUUGAAAGGAGUAAUCCGUCUAAAGAUGAGCCCGCGUCCGAUUAGCUAGUUGGUAGGGUAAAAGCCUACCAAGGCGACGAUCGGUAGCUGGUCUGAGAGGAUGAUCAGCCACAAUGGGACUGAGACACGGCCCAUACUCCUACGGGAGGCAGCAGUGGGGAAUUUUACGCAAUGGGGGAAACCCUGACGUAGCGACACCGCGUGAGCGAAGAAUCCCCUUGGGGUGUAAAGCUCUGUCAGCUGGAACGAAAAAAAUGACGGUACCAGCAGAGGAAGCAUCGGCUAACUACGUGCCAGCAGCCGCGGUAAGACGUAGGAUGCAAGCGUUGUCCGGAUUUAUUGGGCGUAAAGAGUUCGUAGGUGGUUUGUUAAGUUUGGUGUUAAAGAUUGGGGCUCAACCCUGAAACUGCACUGAAUACUGGCAGACUCGAGUGUGGUAGAGGCUAGUGGAAUUCCCAGUGUAGCGGUGAAAUGCGUAGAUAUUGGGAAGAACACCGGUGGCGUAGGCGACUAGCUGGGCCAUAACUGACACUGAGGAACGAAAGCCAGGGGAGCGAAUGGGAUUAGAUACCCCAGUAGUCCUGGCCGUAAACGAUGGAUACUAGGCGUAUCGGGUAUCGACC